rnacentral:rRNA from 1 species
AAGUAAAGUCGUAACAAGGUCUCCGUAGGUGAACCUGCGGAGGGAUCAUUACAAGAACGCCCGGGCUUCGGCCUGGUUAUUCAUAACCCUUUGUUGUCCGACUCUGUUGCCUCCGGGGCGACCCUGCCUUCGGGCGGGGGCUCCGGGUGGACACUUCAAACUCUUGCGUAACUUUGCAGUCUGAGUAAACUUAAUUAAUAAAUUAAAACUUUUAACAACGGAUCUCUUGGUUCUGGCAUCGAUGAAGAACGCAGCGAAAUGCGAUAAGUAAUGUGAAUUGCAGAAUUCAGUGAAUCAUCGAAUCUUUGAACGCACAUUGCGCCCCCUGGUAUUCCGGGGGGCAUGCCUGUUCGAGCGUCAUUUCACCACUCAAGCCUCGCUUGGUAUUGGGCAACGCGGUCCGCCGCGUGCCUCAAAUCGUCCGGCUGGGUCUUCUGUCCCCUAAGCGUUGUGGAAACUAUUCGCUAAAGGGUGUUCGGGAGGCUACGCCGUAAAACAACCCCAUUUCUANNNNUGACCUCGGAUCAGGUAGGGAUACCCGC